GCCCACCGUGCCGAUAAUCGGUACGGGUUGUGAGAGCAAGAACCCGGAGACGGAAUCUGAGACAAGAUUCCGGGCCCUACGGGGCGCAGCAGGCGCGAAACCUUUACACUGCACGCCAGUGCGAUAAGGGGACCCCGAGUGCGUAGGCAUAGAGCCUACGCUUUUGUGGACCGUAGGGAGGUUCACGAAUAAGAGCUGGGCAAGACCGGUGCCAGCCGCCGCGGUAAUACCGGCAGCUCGAGUGAUGGCCGAUUUUAUUGGGCCUAAAGCGUCCGUAGCUGGCUGUGCAAGUCCGUCGGGAAAUCUACUCGCUCAACGAGUAGGCGUCCGGCGGAAACUGCACGGCUUGGAACCGGAAGGCGUGAAGGGUACGUCUGGGGUAGGAGUGAAAUCCCGUAAUCCUGGACGGACCGCCGAUGGCGAAAGCACUUCACGAGGACGGAUUCGACAGUGAGGGACGAAAGCUAGGGUCUCGAACCGGAUUAGAUACCCGGGUAGUCCUAGCCGUAAACGAUGCCUGUUAGGUGUGACUCCCACUACGAGUGGGUGUUGUGCCGUAGGGAAGCCGCUAAACAGGCCGCCUGGGAAGUACGUCCGCAAGGAUGAAAUUCAA
rnacentral:rRNA from 1 species